rnacentral:rRNA from 1 species
UGCCUACGGGGGGCAGCAGUAGGGAAUAUUGCUCAAUGGGGGAAACCCUGAAGCAGCAACGCCGCGUGGAGGAUGAAGGUUUUAGGAUUGUAAACUCCUUUUGUGAGAGAAGAUAAUGACGGUAUCUCACGAAUAAGCACCGGCUAACUCCGUGCCAGCAGCCGCGGUAAUACGGAGGGUGCAAGCGUUACUCGGAAUCACUGGGCGUAAAGAGUGCGCAGGCGGGACGGCAAGCCUGAUGUGAAAGCCCGCGGCCCAACCGCGGGACUGCAUUGGGAACUACCGGGCUGGAGUGCCGGAGAGGG